CAAGGAAUUUUCCCCAAUGGGCGCCAGCCUGAGGGAGCAACGCCGCGUGGGGGAGGACGCGUUUCGGCGUGUAAACCCCUUUUCCGAGGGACGAAGCAAGUGACGGUACCUCGGGAAGAAGGCCCGGCUAACUACGUGCCAGCAGCCGCGGUAAUACGUAGGGGCCAAGCGUUGUCCGGAGUUACUGGGCGUAAAGGGCGCGCAGGCGGUGGGUUACGUCGUGUGUGAAAGCCCCCGGCUCAACCGGGGA
rnacentral:rRNA from 1 species